UACGUAGGGUGCAAGCGUUGUCCGGAAUUAUUGGGCGUAAAGAGCUCGUAGGCGGUCUGUCACGUCGGAUGUGAAAACUCGGGGCUCAACCCCGAGCCUGCAUACGAUACGGGCAGACUUGAGUUCGGCAGGGGAGACUGGAAUUCCUGGUGUAGCGGUGAAAUGCGCAGAUAUCAGGAGGAACACCGGUGGCGAAGGCGCUCUGCUGGACCAUAACUGACACUCAGGGACGAAAGCUAGGGGAGCGAAUGGG
rnacentral:rRNA from 1 species